GACGAACCGUACAAACGUUAUUCGGAAUCACUGGGCUUAAAGGGUGCGUAGGCGGCGCGGAAAGUAGGGUGUGAAAUCCCUCGGCUCAACCGAGGAAUUGCGCCCUAAACUACCGUGCUCGAGGGAGAUAGAGGUGAGCGGAACUUAGGGUGGAGCGGUGAAAUGCGUUGAUAUCCUAAGGAACACCGGUGGCGAAAGCGGCUCACUGGAUCUCUUCUGACGCUGAGGCACGAAAGCUAGGGUAGCGAACGGG
rnacentral:rRNA from 1 species